CCUACGGGUGGCAGCAGUGGGGAAUAUUGGGCAAUGGGCGCAAGCCUGACCCAGCAACGCCGCGUGAAGGAAGAAGGCCCUCGGGUUGUAAACUUCUUUUCUAUAGGACGAAGAAGUGACGGUACUAUAGGAAUAAGCCACGGCUAACUACGUGCCAGCAGCCGCGGUAAUACGUAGGUGGCGAGCGUUAUCCGGAUUUACUGGGUGUAAAGGGCGUGUAGGCGGGAGAGCAAGUCAGAUGUGAAAACUACAGGCUUAACCUGUAGCCUGCAUUUGAAACUGUUCUUCUUGAGUGAUGGAGAGGCAGGCGGAAUUCCUGGUGUAGCGGUGAAAUGCGUAGAUAUCUGGAGGAACAUCAGUGGCGAAGGCGACUAUCUGGCACAUAACUGACGCUGAGGAGCGAAAGCGUGGGUAGCAAACAGGAUUAGAUACCCGUGUAGUC
rnacentral:rRNA from 1 species